rnacentral:rRNA from 1 species
GAUGAACGCUGGCGGCGUGCUUAACACAUGCAAGUCGAACGAUGAAGCCCAGCUUGCUGGGUGGAUUAGUGGCGAACGGGUGGGUAACACGUGAGUAACCUGCCCUUAACUCUGGGAUAAGCCUGGGAAACUGGGUCUAAUACCGGAUAGGAGCGUCCACCGCAUGGUGGGUGUUGGAAAGAUUUAUCGGUUUUGGAUGGACUCGCGGCCUAUCAGCUUGUUGGUGAGGUAAUGGCUCACCAAGGCGACGACGGGUAGCCGGCCUGAGAGGGUGACCGGCCACACUGGGACUGAGACACGGCCCAGACUCCUACGGGAGGCAGCAGUGGGGAAUAUUGCACAAUGGGCGCAAGCCUGAUGCAGCGACGCCGCGUGAGGGAUGACGGCCUUCGGGUUGUAAACCUCAUUCAGUAGGGAAGAAGCGAAAGUGACGGUACCUGCAGAAGAAGCACCGGCUAACUACGUG